UGGAUGAGUUGCGAACGGGUGAGUAACGCGUAGGUAACCUGCCUUGUAGCGGGGGAUAACUAUUGGAAACGAUAGCUAAUACCGCAUAACAAUGGAUGACACAUGUCAUUUAUUUGAAAGGGGCAAUUGCUCCACUACAAGAUGGACCUGCGUUGUAUUAGCUAGUAGGUGAGGUAAUGGCUCACCUAGGCGACGAUACAUAGCCGACCUGAGAGGGUGAUCGGCCACACUGGGACUGAGACACGGCCCAGACUCCUACGGGAGGCAGCAGUAGGGAAUCUUCGGCAAUGGGGGCAACCCUGACCGAGCAACGCCGCGUGAGUGAAGAAGGUUUUCGGAUCGUAAAGCUCUGUUGUAAGUCAAGAACGGGUGUGAGAGUGGAAAGUUCACACUGUGACGGUAGCUUACCAGAAAGGGACGGCUAACUACGUGCCAGCAGCCGCGGUAAUACGUAGGUCCCGAGCGUUGUCCGGAUUUAUUGGGCGUAAAGCGAGCGCAGGCGGUUUGAUAAGUCUGAAGUUAAAGGCUGUGGCUCAACCAUAGUUCGCUUUGGAAACUGUCAAACUUGAGUGCAGAAGGGGAGAGUGGAAUUCCAUGUGUAGCGGUGAAAUGCGUAGAUAUAUGGAGGAACACCGGUGGCGAAAGCGGCUCUCUGGUCUGUAACUGACGCUGAGGCUCGAAAGCGUGGGGAGCGAACAGGAUUAGAUACCCUGGUAGUCCACGCCGUAAACGAUGAGUGCUAGGUGUUGGAUCCUUUCCGGGAUUCAGUGCCGCAGCUAACGCAUUAAGCACUCCGCCUGGGGAGUACGACCGCAAGGUUGAAACUCAAAGGAAUUGACGGGGGCCCGCACAAGCGGUGGAGCAUGUGGUUUAAUUCGAAGCAACGCGAAGAACCUUACCAGGUCUUGACAUCCCGAUGCUAUUUCUAGAGAUAGAAAGUUACUUCGGUACAUCGGUGACAGGUGGUGCAUGGUUGUCGUCAGCUCGUGUCGUGAGAUGUUGGGUUAAGUCCCGCAACGAGCGCAACCCCUAUUGUUAGUUGCCAUCAUUCAGUUGGGCACUCUAGCGAGACUGCCGGUAAUAAACCGGAGGAAGGUGGGGAUGACGUCAAAUCAUCAUGCCCCUUAUGACCUGGGCUACACACGUGCUACAAUGGUUGGUACAACGAGUUGCGAGUCGGUGACGGCGAGCUAAUCUCUUAAAGCCAAUCUCAGUUCGGAUUGUAGGCUGCAACUCGCCUACAUGAAGUCGGAAUCGCUAGUAAUCGCGGAUCAGCACGCCGCGGUGAAUACGUUCCCGGGCCUUGUACACACCGCCCGUCACACCACGAGAGUUUGU
rnacentral:rRNA from 1 species